rnacentral:rRNA from 1 species
AAAGACGGUCUUGCUGUCACUUAUAGAUGGAUCCGCGCUGCAUUAGCUAGUUGGUAAGGUAACGGCUUACCAAGGCAACGAUGCAUAGCCGACCUGAGAGGGUGAUCGGCCACACUGGAACUGAGACACGGUCCAGACUCCUACGGGAGGCAGCAGUAGGGAAUCUUCCGCAAUGGGCGAAAGCCUGACGGAGCAACGCCGCGUGAGUGAUGAAGGUCUUCGGAUCGUAAAACUCUGUUAUUAGGGAAGAACAUAUGUGUAAGUAACUGUGCACAUCUUGACGGUACCUAAUCAGAAAGCCACGGCUAACUACGUGCCAGCAGCCGCGGUAAUACGUAGGUGGCAAGCGUUAUCCGGAAUUAUUGGGCGUAAAGCGCGCGUAGGCGGUUUUUUAAGUCUGAUGUGAAAGCCCACGGCUCAACCGUGGAGGGUCAUUGGAAACUGGAAAACUUGAGUGCAGAAGAGGAAAGUGGAAUUCCAUGUGUAGCGGUGAAAUGCGCAGAGAUAUGGAGGAACACCAGUGGCGAAGGCGACUUUCUGGUCUGUAACUGACGCUGAUGUGCGAAAGCGUGGGGAUCAAACAGGAUUAGAUACCCUGGUAGUCCACGCCGUAAACGAUGAGUGCUAAGUGUUAGGGGGUUUCCGCCCCUUAGUGCUGCAGCUAACGCAUUAAGCACUCCGCCUGGGGAGUACGACCGCAAGGUUGAAACUCAAAGGAAUUGACGGGGACCCGCACAAGCGGUGGAGCAUGUGGUUUAAUUCGAAGC